rnacentral:ribozyme from 1 species
CCCACACACACACACAAAUAAUAUAUACGCAUCAUUCCAAAAAGAUUAGAGAAAAGACGACGACCCGGAUACAUACCCGUACGAUUCGUCGUUUUUUCUUUUGUUUCGUUUUUUUUUGCAGUUGGUUGGUGCCUAUCUUGCUGUUAUUAAAAUCAUCUAUUCUAUAAACUAUUAUUUAAAAAA